rnacentral:rRNA from 1 species
GACGAACGCUGGCGGCGUGCUUAACACAUGCAAGUCGAACGGAGAGGCGCCUUCCUUGUUGGUGGGUGGGGAGGAGUGGCGAAGGGGUGAGCAAGAGGAGAGUAACCUGCCCCCUUCGUCAGGAUAACGGCAUGAAGGCGUGGAUAAUAUAGGAUAUCCUGCGUCUGUCGCAUGAUUGGUCUGGGACAGAUAUUGUGUCGGUGGUGGAUGGGCUCGCGUCCUAUCAGCUUGUUGGUGGGGUGAUGGCCUACCAAGGCGAUGAGGGGUAGCCGGCCUGAGAGGGUCGGCGGUCACAGAGGGGAGGCGGCACCGCUGAGACUCCGACAGGAGGCAGCAGUGUAGAGUAGGGAACAGUGGGCGCAAGUCUGAAGCAGCGGCGCGGCGUGAGGGAUGGAGGCCUGCGCGUUAUGAACGUCUUUCGGGUGUGAAGCAGUUUGGCCUCGGAUGUGGGUGGAUUGACGGUAGCUGGUUAAGAAGCGCCGGCUAACUACGUG